rnacentral:rRNA from 1 species
GACGAACGCUGGCGGCGUGCUUAACACAUGCAAGUCGAACGAUGAAGAAAAGAAUCGAAGCUUCGGCAGAAAUUCAUUUCGGAUUAGUGGCAGACGGGUGAGUAACGCGUGAGCAACCUACCUCUUACAAAGGGAUAGCCUCGGGAAACCGGGAUUAAUACCAUAUAACAUUGUGACGAAGCAUUUCGAUGCAAUCAAAGCUACGGCGGUAAGAGAUGGGCUCGCGUCCCAUUAACCGGAUGGUGAGGUAACGGCUCACCAUAGUGACGAUGGGUAACCGGCCUGAGAGGGUGAACGGUCACACUGGAACUGAGACACGGUCCAGACUCCUACGGGAGGCAGCAGUGGGGAAUAUUGCACAAUGGAGGGAACUCUGAUGCAGCGACGCCGCGUGAGUGAUGAAGGAAUUCGUAUCGUAAAACUCUGUUCUAUGGGAAGAAAAGGACUGUACCAUAGGAGAAAGCUCCGGCUAAAUACGUG